AGUCAUCAACCCAAGCCGUUUUGCUGCGGCCGACGGUUGGACUUGGGGCGUGCUGCCGCGAGGCUGCUCCCCUCAAAUGCGUCGGUUGGGCCUGUGGGUCGAACUCGAAAGGGCGUUGUACCAUCCUCGCUCCCUCGAGAUGCCUCCCCUCCCGUGCCCCUCCACGACCUUGCCUCUGAAGGGUGGCGGUCAAAAACCAUUUUGAA
rnacentral:misc_RNA from 1 species